UACGAAGGGUGCUAGCGUUGUUCGGAAUUACUGGGCGUAAAGGGCGUGUAGGCGGCCCGUUUAGUUAGGCGUGAAAUCCCCGGGCUCAACCUGGGAACUGCGCUUAAUACUGGCGGGCUUGAAUCCAGGAGAGGAAUGUGGAAUUCCGAGUGUAGAGGUGAAAUUCGUAGAUAUUCGGAAGAACACCAGUGGCGAAGGCGACAUUCUGGACUGGUAUUGACGCUGAGGCGCGAAAGCGUGGGGAGCAAACAGG
rnacentral:rRNA from 1 species